rnacentral:rRNA from 1 species
AAAUUAAAACUUAGUAUCGCAUGACUACCAAGGUUAAAAGGCGCUACGGCGUCACCUAGAGAUGGAUCCGGCGGUGCAUUAGUUAGUUGGUGGGGUAAAGGCUUACCAAGACAAUGAUGCAUAGCCGAGUUGAGAGACUGAUCGGCCACAUUGGGACUGAGACACGGCCCAAACUCCUACGGGAGGCUGCAGUAGGGAAUCUUCCACAAUGGGCGAAAGCCUGAUGGAGCAACGCCGCGUGUGUGAUGAAGGCUUUCGGGUCGUAAAGCACUGUUGUAUGGGAAGAACAGCUAGAGUAGGGAAUGACUUUAGUUUGACGGUACCAUACCAGAAAGGGACGGCUAAAUACGUG